GUGACUGCAAUGCUAUUUGAGUAUCCUGAAAACGGGCUUUUCAGAAUGGUAUUGCUGUAUAAAAUAGUAGGAGUGCAUAGUGGCCCGUAUAGCAGGCAUUAACAUUCCUGAU
rnacentral:sRNA from 1 species